GAGACUUUAGCUUAAUUAAAGUGUCUGAGUUGCAUUCAUAAGAUAUAGGAUAGAGUCCUAUAGGUCUUA
rnacentral:tRNA from 1 species